AGACUAGAAUGAAUGGAUUAAUGGGGCAUUACUUUCUUAGAUUAAAUAUUAAAAAUAAUUUUUUUAGUGAAGAAACUAAGAUAAUUUUGAGGGACGAGAAGACCCUAUUAAGCUUAAUAAAAAUAUUUUGUUGGGGAAAUAAAAGAAAAAAUUUUCUUUUUAAAAAAGUUUUGAUAAAAUUUGAUUUUUUUUUAAAAAUAAAAGAAUAAGUUACUAUAGGGAUAACAGCAUAAUUUUUUUUAAAAGUUCUUAUUUACAAAAAAGAUUAUGACCUCGAUGUUGGAUUAAAAUAAUUAUAUAAUGAAGUUGUUGUAUAAAUUAGUCUGUUCGACUAUUAAAUUUUUAC
rnacentral:rRNA from 1 species